UGCAGUCGAGCGGGGGAAGGUAGCUUGCUACCGGACCUAGCGGCGGACGGGUGAGUAAUGCUUAGGAAUCUGCCUAUUAGUGGGGGACAACAUCUCGAAAGGGAUGCUAAUACCGCAUACGUCCUACGGGAGAAAGCAGGGGAUCUUCGGACCUUGCGCUAAUAGAUGAGCCUAAGUCGGAUUAGCUAGUUGGUGGGGUAAAGGCCUACCAAGGCGACGAUCUGUAGCGGGUCUGAGAGGAUGAUCCGCCACACUGGGACUGAGACACGGCCCAGACUCCUACGGGAGGCAGCAGUGGGGAAUAUUGGACAAUGGGGGGAACCCUGAUCCAGCCAUGCCGCGUGUGUGAAGAAGGCCUUAUGGUUGUAAAGCACUUUAAGCGAGGAGGAGGCUACUUUAGUUAAUACCUAGAGAUAGUGGACGUUACUCGCAGAAUAAGCACCGGCUAACUCUGUGCCAGCAGCCGCGGUAAUACAGAGGGUGCGAGCGUUAAUCGGAUUUACUGGGCGUAAAGCGUGCGUAGGCGGCUUAUUAAGUCGGAUGUGAAAUCCCCGAGCUUAACUUGGGAAUUGCAUUCGAUACUGGUGAGCUAGAGUAUGGGAGAGGAUGGUAGAAUUCCAGGUGUAGCGGUGAAAUGCGUAGAGAUCUGGAGGAAUACCGAUGGCGAAGGCAGCCAUCUGGCCUAAUACUGACGCUGAGGUACGAAAGCAUGGGGAGCAAACAGGAUUAGAUACCCUGGUAGUCCA
rnacentral:rRNA from 1 species